GCUUUUCUACUCUUCUCAGCCUUGAAGCGCUGCCAGCAGUGUGACGAGGCUCAUCAGGAUCAGCAUAGCUACACGGGAGAAGAGAAUUUACAUUUUUCAUGAGCAUCCUGCUAUGGCUUGAAUACAACAAUUGACACUGGUUCACGGAACGUGGAGGUUUCCACCAUAUUCCUGGGAAUUCUCAUAGGAUGCGGACCGCUACGUUCCUACUAAAAAGGGUCGCAGUCUUCCGGCAACUCCAGGCACAGGACGCUCAUCCCACAGCCUCUCAGGGUCACGUUUGCCUUGAGGAAGAACACCCAAAGAAUUUUGCACACCUAAACUAACUCAGCCAACUUCUUUUUCAGCGGACGAAUGAGUGUGGGAACCAGGUAGCCUCCUUAAAUACACGCCCGCACACACUGGCGACGAUGCUGCUGGAAGGCGUGGCCGCUGGAAGAAACUCGUAUGCCUGCGAGAACCCAGAAAAAACAAGCCUGUCAAAAACUGAGUCAUGGAAUUCUGCAUGUCCCCAACUGGAAAAAAAAAUCUAACACUGAUCAGCUGACUCAUGAACCCGAGCUGCAGCAUUCUGAAUGACCUGCUGCUGUUUCAUGCUCUUUUUGGGGAGUCCAGUCAGAAGACCAUUACGAUCAAAUCUGCUUGAGGGACACCUUCUCCAGAGAGCUGAGAACCUCGGACUGGGCCAAAGGUUCACCUUCCAACAGCACAAUGACCCUAAGCACACAGCUAAAAUAGAAAAGGUGCGGCUUCAGAACAACUCAGUGAUUGCUUUUGGUUGGCCCCAGCAGGAGCUCUGACUUAAACCAAAUUGAGGAUCUCUGGAGAGACCUGAAAAUAGCUCUCCACCAACGUUCACCAUCCAACCUGAAAGAACUGGAGAGGAUCUGCAAGGAUGAAUUCCAGAGAUGUGAAAAAAACUUGUUGCAUCAUUCCCAAAAAAGACUCAUGGCUGUAUUAGUUCAAAAGGGUACGUUUACUCACUUGUGAGCAAUGGGUCUGAAUACUUGUAUAUACUUACAAAAAACAGUGAAAAAAGAAGGACAAUGAAUAGUUUCUGACCCACUAUAUACAUUUCCAGGAUAUCAUAUUUGAAGCAAAAUCUUUCAGAAAGUUAUCACCAGCUCCUCUUUGCAUUGUUGUUCGUUACUUUGCAAAAAUAUUACUGGCACCACGACUGACCACCAAAACGAACCCUUAUAGGCAUUCAGGUAGUUUGUUGUCUUUUUCGCUGCUUUGCGAUAUUUGUCACUCAUCAUUUGGCUCAAGUUACAGCGUUAAAAAUUGUUCCCAAUAGUGAUGUUUGUGAUAUUGUCAGUGAGUUGAGCCGCGGGAUGGUCCCCGUCACUUUUAAGCCGUUGGACUUGUUGCGCUGCUAUCAGGGUUCUAAAGUGUGCUGUGUCCAUGUGCAUUCCUGAAUGACACGCCUCACAAAAGGCAGAGUAGACGUGGAAUCCAGUUUCUCACAUUGAACGAAUCCAUGUGCCCUGUAUAUCUGUGAAAGUCGUAAUCAGCACCUGUACAAUCCUGUAUGCCCGCUUGUCUGCCAUACUGAAAUGUUACAUUAUCAAAACUGCUCGACCCAACACCAAUUUUCAUGCCUGUUGUUUUCUGACCGACACCCCAGGGGCGAACCGGACAUACUUAUAUUGACCUAUACGGUCCAGCCCUAGUCCCUCCAACAUACACUGUUUUCUCCAUCCAUUAUCCAAACCGCAUAUCCUCACAAGGGUCACGGAGCAGCUUGAGGCUAUCCCAGCUAGCUUUGGGCCAAAGGCGGACUAGACCCUGAACUGGUCGCCAGUCAGUCGCAGGGCAGAAAUCGACACUUCACAUCACUGAGCGGGAAUCGAUCCCACGCUGCCCGCACCAAAGUCAGACGUGUGCCAUCAGUGACUCGCUGUUUUCUCUUACAACUCAAUUUCAUGUCUGAUGACAUGAAUAAAGCAAUCAAAUCAAAAGCCUUUAUUGUUAUUAUAUGAUAUGUGUAGGCUGCACGGUGACGCAGCUGGUAAAGCAUUGGCCUCACAGUUCUAACCCGGGUUCGAUCCCGGCCCUGCCAGUGUGGAGUUUCCAUGUUCUCCCAGUGUUUGCCUGGGUUUUCUCCGAGCACUCGGGUUUCUUCCCACAUCCCAAAAACAUGCUACAUUAAUUGGACACUCUAAAUUACCCCGAGGUGUGAUUGUGAGUGCCGCCGUUUGUCUCCAUGUGCCCUGCGAUUGGUUGGCAACCAGUUCAGAGUGUUGUUAUCCUGUUGACAGCUGGGAUAGGCUCCCGGUGACCCUCGUGAGGAUAAGUAGCUAAGAAAAUGGAUGGAUGGAUAAAGUAUUAAAUGUGAGGUAAAGUGCCAGAGAUAAAAUAUUUACGAUCAAGGCACAGUUAUUGCUAAUAAGUUAUUGUUUAUUGUUCACAGUCUGAUUGCCCAUGUCCAGGCAGAGGUCAGAUUAUUACCUAUUGUACUCUGUUACUGCACAGAGAAGUAAGGGGAUCAAAGCAAAAGAAAGUGCACCUGCAUAGAUUUUCACUGCAUGACAUUGAAAGAACAACUGUAUAUUCUUUAUAAUUGCUAGUUAUUGGACAAAUUAAAAACAACAAAUAAAGUAAAAUGAAAUUUAAUAUGAUGAAUGGGUUAGGAAGUCAGAUGUUAUGAAUGUAAGCAGAUUCAAUGCAUGUUUUUUUUUUUUUUUCCUACAGCAAAAAUACAAUGCAGUAAUUUUUGAAUCCAUCC